rnacentral:rRNA from 1 species
GGGCUUAACCUGGGCAGGUCAGAUAAUACUGUUUGACUCGAGUAUGGGAGAGGGUAGUGGAAUUCUCCGGUGUAGCGGUGAAAUGCGUAGAGAUCGGAAGGAACACCAGUGGCGAAGGCGGCUACCUGGCCUAAUACUGACACUGAGGCACGAAAGCGUGGGGAGCAAACAGGAUUAGAUACCCUGGUAGUCCACGCCGUAAACGAUGUCA